GACGAACGCUGGCGGCGUGCUUAACACAUGCAAGUCGAACGGAAAGGCCCUGCUUGCAGGGUACUCGAGUGGCGAACGGGCGAGUAACACGUGGGUGAUCUGCCCUGCACUUCGGGAUAAGCCUGGGAAACUGGGCCUAAUACCUGAUAGGAGCUAUUUUUAGCGUGAUGGUUGGAAAGUUUUUUCGGUGUAGGAUGAGCUCGCGGCCUAUCGGCUUGUUGGUGGGGUAAUGGCCUACCAAGGCGGCGACGGGUAGCCGGACUGCGAGGGUGGACGGCCACAUUGGGACUGAGGUGCGGCCCAGACUCCGACGGGAGGCAGAAGGGGGGAAUAUUGAACAAUGGGCGCAAGCCUGGUGCAGCAGGGCCGCGUGGGGGAUGACGGCCUUCGGGUUGUAAAAUCCUUUCGCUAGGGACGAAGCUUUUUGUGACGGUACCUAGAUAAGAAGCACCGGCUAACUACGUG
rnacentral:rRNA from 1 species